UGGGGAUCGCGAUCUCCCCACGAGGCGCCAGCCCAAGAAUCGC
rnacentral:ncRNA from 1 species